rnacentral:rRNA from 1 species
ACUCCUACGGGAGGCAGCAGUAGGGAAUUUUCGCAAUGGACGCAAGUCUGACGAAGCAAUGCCGCGUGAGGGAUGAAGGUUUUCGGAUUGUAAACCUCUGUUAUAAGGGAAGAAACCUGAUAUAGGAAAUGAUAUCAGCUUGACGGUACCUUAUCAGAAAGGGACGGCUAACUACGUGCCAGCAGCCGCGGUAAUACGUAGGUCCCGAGCGUUAUCCGAAUAUUGGGCGUAAAGAGCAUGUAGGCGGUUUAUUAAGUCUGGUGUGAAAGCUAGUGGCUCAACCACUAAAUUGCAUUGGAUACUGGUAAACUAGAAUACUGGAGGGGCAAGUGGAAUUCCAUGUGUAGCGGUGGAAUGCGUAGAUAUAUGGAGGAACACCAAUGGCGAAGGCAGCUUGCUGGACAGUAAUUGACGCUGAGAUGCGAAAGCGUGGGUAGCAAACAGGAUUAGAUACCCUGGUAGA